ensembl:lncRNA
UCUGAAUCUUCGGGAGCAGUCGAUGCCCUGCAGAAUGCGAGAUGUGCAGACAGGUAGGUAGGAAGGCUGUUAGUGUACAAGGCCCCUCCCAGUGCCACGCUGACCCCUCUGCUCCAACAGCUGUGUGAGGCCCCACUUGGGGCCUUUACCCACCCCUGCCCAGGCCCUGUUUCAGACCUUUUGAGGUCUGCUCCAAAGGAUAGCUGCUGCAGGUCAUGCAGGAACUGGUUUUUCAUUACUGUAAACUGCUUUAGGAACCCUGAUGAAGCACUCUCUCCAUCAGAUGCAUUUGUUACACGCCAGCUUGAAGGUAUCUUACGUCCAGUGGAAAUACCUGAUCUUGCAUAAACCUGUCCUGGACACGUCUGCCUCCACCAAGGCUACAGGCAGUGCCUGCUAAGAGUGUCAUAUUUGGUGAAACAACUGGAGAGGAGGUGGUGAGUGAGUGGUGUCCUC